rnacentral:rRNA from 1 species
CCAAUAGCGUAUAUUAAAGUUGUUGCAGUUAAAAAGCUCGUAGUUGAAUUUCGGGGUUCUACCGUUGGUCGGGCUUUGUCUGUACUGGCGUGUAGAAUUUCUACCUUCUGGGGAACCAUCAUGUUAUUAAUUUAACGUGGUGGGAAACCAGGACCUUUACCUUGAAAAAAUUAGAGUGUUCAAAGCAGGCUUAUGUCUGAAUACAUUAGCAUGGAAUAAUAAAAUAGGACGGUGGUCCUGUUUUGUUGGUUUCUGAAUCACCGUAAUGAUUAAUAGGGAUAGUUGGGGGCAUUAGUAUUCAAUUGUCAGAGGUGAAAUUCUUGGAUUUAUUGAAGACUAACUUCUGCGAAAGCAUUUGCCAAGGAUGUUUUCAUUAAUCAAGAACGAAAGUUAGGGGAUCGAAGACGAUCAGAUACCGUCGUAGUCUUAACCAUAAACUAUGCCGACUAGGGAUCGGACGAUGUUAAUUUUUCUUGACUCGUUCGGCGCCUUACG